rnacentral:lncRNA from 10 species
GGCCAGAGAAACCAAGGUGAUUUUUGAGGAAGCAGGGAAGAUAUCACUAGGAAGGGAGACCUCCCUGGAAGCCAUAGUGAGUGAUCCACUGGUUCAGAUCUCUCAACCGGUUCAGAAGCUGUGCUGACCAUUCAGGGCUGGGCAAGGACAAACAAUCAGAAACUACAACGCCCAGGAAAACAGCUGAAAAGAGAUCAUCAGCCAGCACUGCAGGGGCCUCAUAAAGCAGGCAGGUACCCUUCCUGUCUUCCCCAGUCAUCCUGGAUACCAAAUAGCCAUGUCUAUGCCCAAGGAUGCCUAUAAAGGAAGAACUCAAAACAGAACUCCAUGGAGCUUCAGAAUCUAAGAGAAAACUUACCCACAAUUCUCAGUUGCUUCGAGAGAACAAUGGACACCCUGCGCCCGGUGGGUCCCAAGCCUGGUCACUCAAUGCUCCUGGGGGUUGCUAGAUGCCCCACUGCAGGUCCCACUUCUGAUACCAUCUGUUGGGGAAUGAUUUGCAAAUUGAGCAGCCACCAGAAUCAGAAUAGGUUCAGAGAGACUCUGUGCUGCCACAUGCUUGGAGGGGAUUUAUGACUAGGAAAAGGAAAGUGAUGUACAGAAAGCAGAAGUGAGGUACAAAAACAACUGGAUUGGUUACAGCUCAGUGUUUGCCUUAUUUGAACCUGGUUGGAACAGUUGGCCACCUUUCAUUGGCUGAAACUAGCUUAUUGGUACAAGAGUACUUUACAGACUGUUUCCAUAUCUAGUUAAGUUACAGUUCACUAUAUACAGAGUAAUGUAAAGGCUGAACUUGAAAUCCAUGAGGACACAGCUUUAGGCUAAACUUAAUUUAACAAGACUAUAAAGUGUUUGCACUAGAAAACAAAGCAUAUUUUGAGUAGCAUUAGGGUAAACAAAUGCCUGCAAAUUUUACAGUAUCUUACAGGAGGAGGUAGGGUACUUACCAGCAGCCCCAGUAGAAGGGGGAAUUUGGUGAAGUAAUUCCCUGGCACUUCUAGCCUAAGAAGCUGAGCUCCCAGAGGAUCCCACAAAAGCCCUUGGAAAGAAAGGGCUUUUUCAGAAAUACAGAACACACCCACCAGAAUGAUAGGAUGAUAGGGUUUGAGAAAUAUAGGAAUCCAUUGCCCAGCUUGAUAUUGAUGUGGGCACACUGUGCCCACACGCAAAGCAAGAGAGUGAGUGAUUCUGGAAACAGCACUCAGUCAAUGACAGACGGACAGUGGUGGAUGAAUACCCAGCUUCUCAUCUGCUCAGCGGCAAAACAGUGAGACAUGUUCUACAGUGCCUCGCUUGGUGUCUUUUCAAAUAAUAGUAAUUUGUAUGGCCAGCUUCCCUAGAAAACAAAGCCUGAGCAAAUCUUCAUAAGCCAAGAUGUUUGAGAGGAGCUCAAUCCCAGUGAAGCAGGAGUGAAGGGGAAAUGCAGAAAGGCCGGGAAGGAGGGAGGGUGAACACAGAGAGUGCAUGACUGGAGGACGGGACACAUUUUGGUGACAAGUUGACUGUAUCUUCAAACCGUCUAUCUGAGGCAUGAUGCAAGAGUUAUCUACGGAGGGUACCCACCGCUUCCAGCUCUCAUUGGUCGAGCUCUCACAGGGGGCGGUAACGCCUCCCUUCCUCCAGUGCCAAUCAGAUCCUUCAGAGCCUCCAGUCUUUGCAGCCCUAAGGAAGCUUCCGCACAAGGCAGGAGUCCUGCAGAGCGACUAGCAGGGCGCAUCAGGGAAGGCGCACGCAGGUUGGAGUGGCUGCCAUGAGAAACCAGUGACGGCGCACGACUCUCUGGCCAAAAAGCGAGACUAGCGCCCCAGCCCCGGAUGGUGAACCUACAGACUCCAGCACGGUGCUUGGCAUAGGCCUAUCUCCUGUAUUCAAUGGCACAUUUACAACGCUUGUGAAGUUCAUCUGUUAGUUACAGUGCAUUGGCUCCACUUGGCGUGACCCACUACAGAUGUUCAAACUUUUACGUGUUUUGAGACUAGGAAGAAAUAUGUUAAUUUAUAAUUUAAUUAAAAUCAAUAACUCAUUCUUGAAAAUUAAUCUGAAGAAGUUCCAUGAAUUAGGAGAGGAGAGGAAAUCUAAAUAAUUGACCGUAAGGAAUUAGUUGAGUCAGUGAUGAUGCAUCAACUUAAGGGACUCUUACCUCAUUUUAAAAGGGCGAUUAGUUUAAAAUAUUGCCAUAUGCUUUUGACAUAAUGUUAAAUUUAAAAAGCGGAAGAUGAAGCACCUUCCAAUUGUGAUUCAAAAUUGCAUUGGUCAGGAGAGUCAAAGUCACACCACAGUAAGAAACAAUAUGGUUACAUAAACGGAUACAACACACACUGGGGCCUUUGCAGGUGUAUGGUGGGAGGAGGGAGAGGAUCAGCAAAAACAGCUAAUGGGUACUAGGUUUAAUACCUGAGUGAUAAAAUAGUCUGUACAACAAAUCCCCAUGACACAAGUUUACCUAUCUAGCAAACCUGCACUUGUACCCCUGAACUUAAAAUUAAAAAAAAAAAAAAAAAAAAGAAACAACCAAAAAAAUCCCAGCAGCUUAGGACAACAAGCCUUUGUUUAUUGCACACACACAUGCCAAGUAACCAUAUGACGUGAUAGCUAUGUUCAAUGGCUUCACUAUAGUAACCAUUGUACUAUCUACAGGAAUCCCAUAACCUCAUGUUGUAAACCUCAAAUAUACACAAUAACAUUUAUUUUUAAAAAGAAAAAGGAAGUCUCCUGCGUGUUCGGGAGGUUCUCCCAGACACUGUCCACACACAUUGCCCAUGAUUCUUCCUGUUGGGUUGGAAUCAGGUGGUGAAUGGCACUGCUCCCUUAACCACCAUGCUAUCCAGUCACUAGAAUUUCUGCCUAUUCCUGCGAACACAUGACUGUCCACAAUCAGAUAGCAUCAGACAUGUCAAGGUCAACCAUCAGACAAACCAGCAUUUAGAGGAUAAGCAAAAGAACAGGGGACCCUGCCCUGGAUGAGACUCACAGUGGUGCUGAGGGAUGGAGGGAGUUUCUGCUCAGACAGCACAAGCACAACGGACACCGUAAGUCAGCCUGUCCUUGUCCGCUUCGACCCAGUGUGCUUACUGACACAUACCUGGAGUGCCUGUUCAUGUGCAUAGCCCAUCACCCUGACAGCACAACUACAAUCUUUGGACUCCGUGUCAUAGUUCAUCUUGUGCUGUCAGUUUGGAUCCCGGUGCUAAUGUUACUCAUGAGAGUCCAAGAAGGUUGAGUCCAAGACAAUGGAUGAUAAUCGCCCAACUUACUACAGCACAAACACUUUGUGGAAAUGGGCACUUAACUGAAAAUCUCUUAUUCCAGCAAGAGAGGUCAUAUUUUCCAUUUAUUUUACAACACUUCUUCAGAUCCUAUGUGGAGGUCUGUUUUCCUAGAAAAGAUCAUUUAUUCCAGUCAUUUAGAACUAAAAUUCAAAAUCUGUGCACCCUUGGUUAUUUAAUAUAGAUAACGGGAAAAAAAUCUGAGCAUAUUAUGGGUUAUUAAACACUAAAAUGUGCUUCUGAAAAAAAUUGCAGGAUAUCUUCAUGUGAAAUUCUUUGGUUCCCUAUGGAGCCAGGGAUCCUGACUAGUUGCUUCUUGAGGUGUUUCCCAAACCUGGGAUGCUAUGAUAGGGGCCAUAAAAUCAAUAUGCUGAGUUGAAAAAGAUUAUAUCUCAGCAGCUGGUGAAGAAAGCAAACCUAAAAUAUUUUAGAUAAGCAUUUAUUGUUCACUAAAUAAGUGUGCUGCCUUAGCAAAAGGAAUUACCCAGACUGCAAAACUGCAACAAACUUGGAAAAACCUUUAAAUAUACAGAAUAUUUAAUAUAUCAUUUAAUGUGAAAAAAACGAAGAAAGUCUUUCCUUAAAGGAAAUAUCAAAUUUCUCUAAUCACAUUCUUGUUUAACAACAAGACUAUAGUUUAAAAAAAUUCAAAGGAAUAGCACUAAAUCCAAACUAUAAAAGAAUAUUAAUAUAUAAAUUAAGUGGCACAUAUCAUGCCAUACAGUUUUUUAAAACGACAUAUAGUGUUUUUAGCCUGGGCACAGUGGCUCGCACCUAUAAUUCCAGCACUUUGGGAGGCUGGGGCAGGUAGAUCACAUGAGGUCAGGAGUUUGAGACCAGCCUGGGCAACAUAGCAAGACCUUGUCUCUAUUUUUUAAAUCCAAAAAUAUUAGCCAGGCAUGGUGGUGCACGCCUGUGGUCCCAGUUACUCAGGAGGCUGAGGUGGGAGGAUCACUUGAGCCCAGGAGAUGGAGGCUGCAGUGAGUUAUGACAGUGCCAUUGCACUUCAUCUUGGGCAACAGAGUGAGACCCUGUCUCCAGUAAAUAAAUAAAUAAAUAACAUAUGGUGUUUUUACAUUUCUUUAUAUUCAUAGAUAAAAUAUUCAAGCAAUUAUUUUUAUGUGUGGGUUGUGUUCUAAAAGUCACAAUGUAUUUUUCCUGAAGAACAAUGGUGUUUUUGAGGUCAGACUAUCUUCCAAAAGUUCAUUUAACUCAAAAUAUUAUAGAAAGAUAGUACAUUUGCAAACAAAGUUAAAGUAGACUAAACAAAAGUUAAGUAAUAAAGCAGACUGUCAAAUUAACAUACAAGAAACAGUAGCCUUCAAUACAAAAAAUAAUCAGAAGAUAUAAUGUAUGAGAGAGCCCCAUUUCCAGCAAGAAAAUAAAAUAUAAAAUACUUAAGAAUGAGCUUAACAAGAAAUUUGCAAAACCUCUAUAAGGAAAACUUUAAAAUACUCCUGAAGAAGAUUUCAAUAAACACAAAGACAUCCUUUGCUCUUUGGGAUAGGAUGAUUCAACCCAUCAUUAGUAUAUGAGUUCUUCCUCAGUUGAUUUAGAAACUUAACAUGAUUAAAAAUAAAUAAAUGACAGGCAUUUUAAUGGAGCUAGACCAGUCAAUACUAAAAUCAAUAGGAAAAAAUAAAAUGUUAGAAUAGUUAUGACAACAUUGAAAAAUAAAAACCAUAAGGAAGUGAAAUCCUACCAGAUACGAAAAUAGACUUUGAAGCCUCUAUAACUAAAGCAAUGUGGUUCUGGCACCUGAAUAGACUGACGGGCCAGUGGAAUCAAAUACAGAGUCCAGGAAUUGAUCCAAGAAAAAAUGGGAAUGUAAUGUAUGAUGAUGAUGGUGUCUUACAUUACUGGGGCAAAAAAUUCAAAAUAAGCCAUUUGAGGACAGGGGCAGUAGUUCACAUCUAUAAUUUCAGCACUUUGGGAGCCUUAAGCAGGAGGAACCCUUGAGCCCAGGAGUUCAAGACCAGCCUGGGCAAUGUAACAAGACCUUUCCCCGCCAACAGCCUUCCCCAUCUCUACAAAAAACAAACAAACAAACAAAUUAGUUGGGCAUGGUGGUAUACAACUGUAGUCCUAACAGUUCAGGAGGCUGAGGUAGGAGGAUCGGUUGAGCCCCCAGAGUUCAAGGCUGCAGGGAGCUAUGAUUAUGUUACUGCACACCAGCCUGGGUGACAGAGAGAGAGCCUGACUCUAAAACAAGCAAAAACAAAGACAUUUGAAAAAAAGAUGAAAUUGGAUCCUUAACUUGCACCAUACAAAAUAAGAAAUUCCAACUGACUUGAGAAAUAAUUGUUAAAAAUGAAACCAUGCAAGUACUAGAACACAUGGAAGGGUUCUUCCAUAACCCACCAUGGAUAAGGAAAGGUUCUAUUCAUUUAUCAAAUCUGGAUGUGAUAAAAGAUAAUAACAAUAUAUUUAAUUACAUAAAUAUGUGGUUUUUAUAGCUUAUAUGUAUUCUAUGUUAUGUAUAAUUGUGUUAAAAAAUAAAUGAUAUUCAAAUAUAUAUUUUGCAUUUCAGAAAUAUGUGAUGGCAAACUGGGAGAAAAUAUUUGCAGCAUGUAUGUAGUAGGUGAAAAGCACUGUCUUUUGGUCUUAGGAACCCAGUUAAGGGAUCUACUUGAGAUUUAAGAAGCAAGAAAUGGAAUACCAGGCAAAAACAAUAAAGUUGCACCAAGGUCUAUAUGGGAUUGACAGCAAGACAUUUUAUCUGAGCCCUAGUCAUUGUCCUGUGCAUUCUGAACCAGGUAGGAACUAGAGUCUACAUUUGGAAGGAACUGCAAAUGAGUGCCAAGUGAUCCAGUUGAAAAAUUAGAGACAUCAGCAAUUCCAUGAAGAUGUCACCACCCUAAGUGUCAAUAGAAUCCCUGUUAUAAUAGUAGGAUAUUGACCCAUG